CCGCCUCCCAGCCUUCGAGGAGCUGCACGAACCGCCUUUGCUCCGUAGUUGCAAAGCCUCGCCGCUAACGCCACCUUUGCUCUGCCCUUUCGGACCGCUGCCGCUACUUCGUUGGACUCUGGCCUCCGCGCGCCCUCGCUAUCACCAUCACCACCGCAUUCGCUCCAUGCGCCACCGCUGCCACCGCCUACAGAUCGGAAUCGUGGAGCACUAAGUCCGACGCCACCAAGCGGCAGCGGAAGGUAGCGGCGGUGCCGCUGAGUGACGUUACCAACCUCCUCACCGGCACCCCGACUCCAAUCGAACCUAGGAGAACCAGAUGUCAGCCCCUUCCUCCGCUCUCCGACGCCUCCGCCUCCUCCUUGACCUGCUCCUCCACCGCCGUCCACAAGGAAGAGAGCAGUGUGGUCAAAUCGCCGGCCAUCUCCACGGUUUAGAAAAGGCGCGGGACUACUGAGGCCAUGGCUAAUACUACUUAAAUCUUCUGAAUAUUCAUGCUGCUUUCCUCGAGGCUAAUCUCAUACCAUUGCGUUGGACUUGCCAUUCGUUAUUUCGAAGCUCAGAAGCAAGCUAACGAUGACCCCUUUUUCCGUUCUUUGUUCCUCCAAUUAUGCAAUUAUGCGCCAACGAACUGAUUAACUGGCUCGACAAUUCUUUUCUUCGGACUGAAGGACCUCCAGUUUGCAUAAACCAUAAUUUGCCACGUUACAUAAACAAGUGAGAUUGCUUUACUUACAUUGGUCGUAGUACACUGUUACCUGUGUUUGGUUAGAUCAAUUCAGCCCCUACAGUGGUAGCAUCUCCCCGUUGUGCAAUUGAUAUUGUGUUUCGCAUACAGUUAGCUUGUUGUGUGACCUCGGGAAAGUGACCAUAGGGUUUAGACCAAUCAUCAUUGUGUUUAGUUUGUGUGGAAACCGGAUUCAGUUCAAAGGCACUUCUUAUUAACGACAGUUCAAGUCAUUACCCUUUAAGACCGAUCCAAAAUAUUUCCAUUUUCAGAUGUUGGAACCACUAUGAUAUUCUUUAGUAGUGCUUUUAGUAGAUUGCCAUAUAUAUUAGAGAAAUAUGUGCUAAGUCCUUCACAUUUCCAAGAGAAUAUAGUUAUCACAUCAUAUAUUGUGUGUCUAUGUCAGAACUGACAAAUACAUGAUACUUCAAGCUUUAGGAGUUCUGUAAUGUAGUUCAGUUUUUCAUCCAAGGGCCCUAGUUAAUAGCUAAUGGUUACAGUCUGGUUGCAUUUCAUUUUACUGAAAUACUGAAUCACACGUUGCUUACAGGAAAACAUCCAUGGCUCAGGAUGCUCGGCCCAUUUCUUAUUCAGCUCAUUGUCACAAAACUAAAAAGUUGCCACGUCUGGACGGUUGCUUCUGCAUUGUCAACAUCAAUGCUGACUGCAGGUACCGUUGAUCUUUCUUUGCCUUUCGAUUUCAUGAUAGUUUGUUAGAAUGAUUGUACGUACAACGUGUGGUGUUAAUUGGGAUUCAACACUUCAACCAUUUGGUGUCAUAAUUCUUGAUCUGCACUUCAUCCAGUUCAACUAAAUUCCAGCUAAUGCAAAGUAAUGUCAAAAUAUUUUGCUUUGAUAUCUGAAAAAUGCAUACCUCACAGUUCUACUUUGGAGAUCACUUUCGCAUCUAAGCUCUUUAGCUCUUUCUCAAAAUAUAUUACUUAAUUUUUUUAAAUGAUGCAACUACAUAUUGCCUGGUAAAUUUUCAGUUGCCAAUUAGGAUUAUAAAGGGAAAGUCCAUGUUGAAAGCCAAGAAUAAAAAAUAAAAAAUCCUUUGUCCCAAAUGUCAGGAUUUUGUUAUCUUCCUUGUUCUAUUAGAAAAAUAAGCUACAUUGCCCCUGCUGAUCAGUACAAUUUGCCGAUUAGCAAUAAAUACAUUAUGUGUACCCACUUCAUGGUAUAUUCUGAGUAUAACAUCAUUCUACUUAUCCUGCUAUGUAUCUAUUAUAUGAGCUGGAUGCGGUACUGCAUGGAUUCAAGACUAUAUAACUUUAAAAAAGAAGGAAAUAGGCUCAAAAUGCUUAUUUAUAUGCAUGUGCAGUUUGUUAUAUUUCAUUUUCUGUUGUAUAGCUAUUUGAUAUCUCAUAAUCAUAUGUCAUGUUGUUAUAUGAGACUUACAAGCUAUUGUGUUGAUGAUUUUUGUUUUCUUAGCCUAUGCAGUUGAUUUUUGCUGGAUAUAGAUGCACUCAGAGGUGGUUUUGUACACCUUGUGCAGUAGGUCCUCAGCU